CCUACGGGCGGCAGCAGUGAGGAAUAUUGGUCAAUGGACGAGAGUCUGAACCAGCCAAGUAGCGUGAAGGAUGACUGCCCUAUGGGUUGUAAACUUCUUUUAUAAAGGAAUAAAACGAGGCACGUGUGCCGUUUUGCAUGUACUUUAUGAAUAAGGAUCGGCUAACUCCGUGCCAGCAGCCGCGGUAAUACGGAGGAUCCGAGCGUUAUCCGGAUUUAUUGGGUUUAAAGGGAGCGUAGAUGGGUUGUUAAGUCAGUUGUGAAAGUUUGCGGCUCAACCGUAAAAUUGCAAUUGAUACUGGCAGUCUUGAGUACAGUUGAGGUAGGCGGAAUUCGUGGUGUAGCGGUGAAAUGCUUAGAUAUCACGAAGAACCCCGAUGGCGAAGGCAGCUUACUAAACUGUGACUGACAUUGAUGCUCGAAAGUGUGGGUAUCAAACAGGAUUAGAUACCCCUGUAGUC
rnacentral:rRNA from 1 species